CGGCCCGCCUAACACAUGCAAGUCGAACGAGCGAGAGAGAGCUUGCUUUCUCGAGCGAGUGGCGAACGGGUGAGUAACGCGUGAGGAACCUGCCUCAAAGAGGGGGACAACAGUUGGAAACGACUGCUAAUACCGCAUAAGCCCACGGCUCGGCAUCGAGCAGAGGGAAAAGGAGCAAUCCGCUUUGAGAUGGCCUCGCGUCCGAUUAGCUAGUUGGUGAGGUAAUGGCCCACCAAGGCGACGAUCGGUAGCCGGACUGAGAGGUUGAACGGCCACAUUGGGACUGAGACACGGCCCAGACUCCUACGGGAGGCAGCAGUGGGGAAUAUUGCACAAUGGGGGAAACCCUGAUGCAGCGACGCCGCGUGGAGGAAGAAGGUCUUCGGAUUGUAAACUCCUGUUGUUGGGGAAGAUAAUGACGGUACCCAACAAGGAAGUGACGGCUAACUACGUGCCAGCAGCCGCGGUAAAACGUAGGUCACAAGCGUUGUCCGGAAUUACUGGGUGUAAAGGGAGCGCAGGCGGGAAGACAAGUUGGAAGUGAAAUCUAUGGGCUCAACCCAUAAACUGCUUUCAAAACUGUUUUUCUUGAGUAGUGCAGAGGUAGGCGGAAUUCCCGGUGUAGCGGUGGAAUGCGUAGAUAUCGGGAGGAACACCAGUGGCGAAGGCGGCCUACUGGGCACCAACUGACGCUGAGGCUCGAAAGUGUGGGUAGCAAACAGGAUUAGAUACCCUGGUAGUCCACACCGUAAACGAUGAAUACGAGGUGUUGGAGGAUUGACCCCUUCAGUGCCGCAGUAACACAAUAAG
rnacentral:rRNA from 1 species